rnacentral:rRNA from 1 species
UAACGCGUGAGCACCAUUCCCGCAUCUGGGGAUAAGCGCUGGAAACGGCGUCUAAUACCCCAUACACGGAUUCCGCAUGGGGUCCGUUUGAAAGUUGCGACGGAUGCGGAUUGGCUCGCGUGACAUUAGCUAGCCGGCGGGGUAACGGCCCACCGGGGCGACGAUGUCUAGGGGUUCUGAGAGGAAGGUCCCCCACACUGGAACUGAGACACGGUCCAGACUCCUACGGGAGGCAGCAGUGAGGAAUAUUGGUCAAUGGGCGGAAGCCUGAACCAGCCAUGCCGCGUGAAGGAAUGAGGCCCUAUGGGUCGUAAACUUCUUUUGUGGCGGAGCAAUAAGGGCUACGCGUAGUCCGAUGAGAGUACGUCACGAAUAAGCAUCGGCUAACUCCGUGCCAGCAGCCGCGGUAAUACGGAGGAUGCAAGCGUUAUCCGGAUUUAUUGGGUUUAAAGGGUGCGUAGGCUGUGCCGCAAGUCGGGGGUGAAAGCCCGGGGCCCAACCCCGGAUGUGCCCUUGAUACUGCGGUGCUGGAGUUCGGAUGCCGUGGGAGGAAUGGGCAGUGUAGCGGUGAAAUGCAUAGAUAUUGCCCAGAACACCGAUUGCGAAGGCAUCUCACGAAUCCGACACUGACGCUGAGGCACGAAAGCGUGGGGAUCAAACAGGAUUAGAUACCCUGGUAGUCCACGCAGUAAACGAUGAUGACUAACUGUCGGCGAUAAACAGUCGGUGGCCAAGCGAAAGCGAUAAGUCAUCCACCUGGGGAGCACGUUCGCAAGAAUGAAACUCAAAGGAAUUGACGGGGGCCCGCACAAGCGGAGGAACAUGUGGUUUAAUUCGAUGAUACGCGAGGAACCUUACCCGGGCUCGAACGGCAGUGAACGACCCAGAGAUGGAAGCUCU